rfam:Triticum aestivum genome assembly, contig: Triticum_aestivum_CS42_TGACv1_scaffold_435373_5DL
CUAGUAUUACCUCUGUCCCAAAAUUCUUGUCUUAGAUUUGUCUAGAUACGGAUGUAUCUAACACUAAAACAUGACUAGAUACAUCCAUAUUUAGACUAGAUACAUCCGUAUCUAGACAAAUCUAAGACAAGAAUUUUAGGUCGGAGGAAGUAUGUU